rnacentral:rRNA from 1 species
UACAGAGGAUGCGAGCGUUGUUCGGAAUUAUUGGGCGUAAAGGGCGCGUAGGCGGCCAUCUAAGUCAGACGUGAAAUCCCCCGGCUUAACCUGGGAACUGCGUCUGAUACUGGAAGGCUUGAGUAUGGGAGAGGGAUGUAGAAUUCCAGGUGUAGCGGUGAAAUGCGUAGAUAUCUGGAGGAAUACCGGUGGCGAAGGCGGCAUCCUGGACCAUUACUGACGCUGAGGCGCGAAAGCUAGGGGAGCAAACGGG